ACUUGUGUGAAAUAUUUAUACUACUUUGAGUAAUAUUUAAAGGCUACGAUGUACGAUGUCUUACCGUCAGAUCUAUAGUGUUAAGAAAAGAAAGGCCGACGGCAAACCUAGUACUAGAUGCUUUUCAUCAGAUCUACUGUACCUGUGACCUUCCGAUCUAAUGGUUUUUCACAGUUACUUGAUUGAGAUGAUGUGUCAUAUAAACAGCGAUGGUAUGAAGGGCGUCAUCCAUGGUAGAAUAAUAACCUCCAAGGAGAAUGGUGAUUCUAAAAGUAAGGAAGAAGACACUCCGGUUGAGUGGAAAAUAUCAACACUAUGAAUCAAUGCUUCAUUUCAUUUGACUUUUGUAGUCAUAAUGUAAUUGGGGGUCAUUGAUUUUCUUGCAUUCAGUGGAGUUUGCAAGUCAUUAGUUGUUGAUUUUCUAUAAUUCAGCGGAGUUUGCAAGUCAUGAGUUGUUGAUUUUCUUGCGUUCAGCGGAGUUUGCAAGUCAUGAGUUGUUAGUUUUUCUUUUAUUUAGUAGAGUUUGCACGUCACAAGUUGUUAUUUUUUAUAUUCAGUGGUGUGUGCAAGACAUGAGUUUUUGGUUUUUUUUAUUCGGCAGAGUUUGCAAGUCAUAAAUUGUUGUUUUUAUUAUAUAUAGUAAAGUUUGCAAUUCAUGAAUUGUUGAUUUUCUUGAAUUCGGUUAAAGUUUGCAAUUUAUGAGUUA